rnacentral:rRNA from 1 species
AGAGUUUGAUCCUGGCUCAGGAUGAACGCUAGCUACAGGCUUAACACAUGCAAGUCGAGGGGCAGCAUGGUCUUAGCUUGCUAAGGCCGAUGGCGACCGGCGCACGGGUGAGUAACACGUAUCCAACCUGCCGUCUACUCUUGGACAGCCUUCUGAAAGGAAGAUUAAUACAAGAUGGCAUCAUGAGUCCGCAUGUUCACAUGAUUAAAGGUAUUCCGGUAGACGAUGGGGAUGCGUUCCAUUAGAUAGUAGGCGGAGUAACGGCCCACCUAGUCUUCGAUGGAUAGGGGUUCUGAGAGGAAGGUCCCCCACAUUGGAACUGAGACACGGUCCAAACUCCUACGGGAGGCAGCAGUGAGGAAUAUUGGUCAAUGGGCGCAGGCCUGAACCAGCCAAGUAGCGUGAAGGAUGACUGCCCUAUGGGUUGUAAACUUCUUUUAUAAAGGAAUAAAGUCGGGUAUGCAUACCCGUUUGCAUGUACUUUAUGAAUAAGGAUCGGCUAACUCCGUGCCAGCAGCCGCGGUAAUACGGAGGAUCCGAGCGUUAUCCGGAUUUAUUGGGUUUAAAGGGAGCGUAGAUGGAUGUUUAAGUCAGUUGUGAAAGUUUGCGGCUCAACCGUAAAAUUGCAGUUGAUACUGGAUAUCUUGAGUGCAGUUGAGGCAGGCGGAAUUCGUGGUGUAGCGGUGAAAUGCUUAGAUAUCACGAAGAACUCCGAUUGCGAAGGCAGCCUGCUAAGCUGCAACUGACAUUGAGGCUCGAAAGUGUGGGUAUCAAACAGGAUUAGAUACCCUGGUAGUCCACACGGUAAACGAUGAAUACUCGCUGUUUGCGAUAUACUGCAAGCGGCCAAGCGAAAGCGUUAAGUAUUCCACCUGGGGAGUACGCCGGCAACGGUGAAACUCAAAGGAAUUGACGGGGGCCUGCACAAGCAGAGGAACAUGUGGUUUAAUUCGAUGAUACGCGAGGAACCUUACCCGGGCUUAAAUUGCAGAUGAAUUACGGUGAAAGCCGUAAGCCGCAAGGCAUCUGUGAAGGUGCUGCAUGGUUGUCGUCAGCUCGUGCCGUGAGGUGUCGGCUUAAGUGCCAUAACGAGCGCAACCCUUGUUGUCAGUUACUAACAGGUUCCGCUGAGGACUCUGACAAGACUGCCAUCGUAAGAUGUGAGGAAGGUGGGGAUGACGUCAAAUCAGCACGGCCCUUACGUCCGGGGCUACACACGUGUUACAAUGGGGGGUACAGAGGGCCGCUACCACGCGAGUGGAUGCCAAUCCCCAAAACCUCUCUCAGUUCGGACUGGAGUCUGCAACCCGACUCCACGAAGCUGGAUUCGCUAGUAAUCGCGCAUCAGCCACGCUGCGGUGAAUACGUUCCCGGGCCUUGCACACACCGCCCGUCAAG